rnacentral:rRNA from 1 species
CCUACGGGAGGCAGCAGUGAGGAAUAUUGGUCAAUGGCCGUAAGGCUGAACCAGCCAAGUCGCGUGAAGGACGAAGGAUCUAUGGUUUGUAAACUUCUUUUAUCGGGGAAUAAAGGUAUCCACGUGUGGACAUUUGAAUGUACCCUAUGAAUAAGAAACGGCUAACUCAGUGCCAGGAGCCGCGGUAAUACGGAGGAUGCGAGCGUUAUUCGGAUUUAUUGGGUUUAAAGGGUGCGUAGGUUGUUUUUUAAGUCAGCGGUGAAAGUUUGUGGCUCAACCAUAAAAUUGCCGUUGAAACUGGUAGACUUGAGUGUGUUUGAGGUAGGCGGAAUGCGUGGUGUAGCGGUGAAAUGCAUAGAGAUGACGCAGAACUCCGAUUGCGAAGGCAGCGUACUAGGCCAUAACUGACGCUGAGGCGCGAAAGCGUGGGGAUCAAACAGGAUUAGAUACCCCAGUAGUC